AGAUGUUGUGGAUGUUUAUAACAUCUUGAGAUGUUUAUUUAAUGGGCAAUAAGGAUAAAACAGGCCUCAAACAUUAGUUGAGAGAUAGGAUCACUGCACCUCUCCUUGCAGUUUAAAAAGGUUUUGGCAGCAUACAAUGCUUCACUAACAGUAUUUACCUUAUUAUUAUUGGAAGACAUUGUUUCAAGAUAAAAUUGUAUCCUAAAAUGUUGAUAAC